GUGCCAGCCGCCGCGGUAAUUCCAUGUCUCCAAUAGCGUAUAUUAAAGUUGUUGUGGUUAAAAAGCUCGUAGUUGAACCUUGGGCCUGGCUGGCCGGUCCGCCUCACCGCGUGCACUGGUCCGGCCGGGCCUUUCCCUCUGUGGAACCCCAUACCCUUCACUGGGCGUGGCGGGGAAACAGGACAUUUACUUUGAAAAAAUUAGAGUGCUCCAGGCAGGCCUAUGCUCGAAUACAUUAGCAUGGAAUAAUAAAAUAGGACGCGCGGUUCUAUUUUGUUGGUUUAUAGGACCGCCGUAAUGAUUAAUAGGGACAGUCGGGGGCAUCAGUAUUCAACUGUCAGAGGUGAAAUUCUUGGAUCAGUUGAAGACUAACUACUGCGAAAGCAUUUGCCAAGGAUGUUUUCAUUAAUCAGGAACGAAAGUUAGGGGAUCGAAGACGAUCAGAUACCGUCGUAGUCUUAACCAUAAACUAUGCCGACUAGGGAUCGGGACGGUGUUAUUCAUGACCCGUUUCGGCACCUUACGAGAAAUCAAAGUGCUUGGGCUCCAGGGGGAGUAUGGUCGCAAGGCUGAAACUUAAAGAAAUUGACGGAAGGGCACCACCAGGGUUGGAGCCUGCGGCUUAAUUUGACUCAACACGGGGAAACUCACCAGGUCCAGACACAAUAAGGAUUGACAGAUUGAGAGCUCUUUCUUGAUUUUGUGGGUGGUGGUGCAUGGCCGUUCUUAGGUUGGUGGGGUGACUUGUCUGCUUAAUUGCGAUAACGAACGAGACCUUUAACCUUGCUAAAUUAGCCCCGCAAUGCUUUCUGC
rnacentral:rRNA from 1 species